AAGGGCACCACAAGAACGCGUGGAGCAUGUGGCUUAAUUUGACUCAACGCGGGGAAUCUUACCGGGUCCGGACACACUGAGGAUUGACAGACGGUUAUUGACUUAUACUCGCUUAAUGGCUUUAAGCUGUUAAGUGUUUAACACCUUUACACAAAGAUGCUAGUCCUUUCAUGAUCGUUUGAUAGGUGGUGCAUGGCCGUUCUUAGUUCGUGGAGUGAUCUGUCUGCCUAAUUGCGUUUCACUAAGGUCCCAUUCUUCAUACGUAUGAAUAGCGUCUUAACUCACUUUUACCGCUACCUAUUUGUAGUAAGCGCUCAUACUAUUGGGACCGGAAUGCAACGAGCGCGACUGCACCACCUAAUUGCCCCUUAUCUACCAUUAAUUACUUUAUUAACCGCCCUGUACGGGCACCGGGGCCUUACCUUUACUGAAACUAGCUGGACCGCUGCUUUCCUUUAAGCCAGAGGAAGGUUGCGGCAAUAACAGGUCUGUGAUGCCCUCAGAUGUUCCGGGCCGCACACGUGCUACAAUGAUCAGCACAAAGAGUAUUACCUAUCUUCUUAUACCUAACCCAAUAUGUUAAACUUAUUGCGUAAGGGUAUUGUCUUAACGACUUAUCCGCUUUAGCGCUUUAAGAUUAUUGGACGGUUAUGCCUGCCUCGAAAGAGUGUACAGGGCAGCAAGAGUAAUGAUUCCCUCGUUUUUACUACUAAUACCGCGCUUGGUAACAUAUUACACUCGAUUAAGUAGGGUCUUUGCUUUUAAUAGCAAUUGCUAUCCUCACCCUUAGGCUCUAAGGAUAUUACUAUCUCUAAGGUCUACAGGGAGGUGUAUAUGGCGCACUUACUUAUUCACGGUGGGGACAGACCAUUGUUAACUG
rnacentral:rRNA from 1 species